AAUCUGCUCUGCUGGAGUUUUGUAGGUGAGCAUAGGAUAGGGGAUCCCUCGAGCACUGGAAGGCCAUGACAUGAUCUCCUCAGAGUCUUCUCUUCUCCAUGCUCAACAAUUCUAGCUUCCUUAGUCAGCCUUCAUACGAUAGGCACCCAGAACUGAAUGCAGUAGUUGAAGUGAGGCCUCACAAGAGAAGGUUAGAGGGAAAGUAUCAGCUGCCUUGGUAAGAAGAAGCUACACUUCUUAUGAUGACAGCUCAUAUUCAGUAUUUCACCUACCAAUACCCCCAAGGCCUUCUUCACAGAGUUGUUACUUCACUCAUCAUCCAAACUGAAUUAAUGAUUGAGAUUGCUUUGGCCCAGAUGCAGGACCUUGCACUGGACUUUGUUGAACUUCAUGAGAUUUGUACGGGCCUACCUCUCAAGCCUGUCAAGGUCCCUCUGGAUUGCAUCCAUUCCUUUCUGUGCAUCAACUGUGCCACUCAGCUUGGUAUCUUCUCCAAACUUUCCAAGAGUGCACUCAAUAUCACUGUUCGUGUUACCAAUAAUGCUGUUAAGUAGUGCCAGUUCUGAUGCAAAACCUCAAGAAACACUAUUAAUUAUUGGAAUUCCCCUGCACAUCGAUCUUUUGACCACAAAUCUUUAACUGCAACCAUCCAGCCAAUUCCUUAUCCACUGAGUGGUCCAUCCAUCAAACUCAUGUCUCUCCAAUUUAGAGACGUGUAAGACAGUUUCAGGUGCUUUGCACAAAAAACAGGUAGAUGAUAUUUGUUGCUCUUCUGUGACAAAACAAAUGCUGUUACCCUAUCGUAGAAGGCUACCAGGUACAAUUUCCUGUUAGUGAAAUCACGUGGGCUGUCGCCAAUCCCCUCUCUGUUUUCAGAGUGCUUUAGCAUAUUUUCUAGGAGGUUUUGUUUUGUGAUCUUGCCCAGAACAGAACUAAAUUGCUCCAAAAUUAAUGCCUUCUAUUUACUUCCAUGGAAACUACAACAGAUACAAAGAGCACAAUAACUCUAUUUGAUAGGGCAAACGCUCAACUACAAAAUGAUAUUUUUUCAGCAAUCUCCACCAGUAGCCAUGCAUCUUCAUGAGCAAAGAACAAGAUCCUGAAUCCACAUUCGUAAAAAUCUGCACCAGUGGAAAUGACCUGCUGUUGCCAUUGCUGAAAUGCACCACUCACCGCUUUAUUGUGCUCACAUCCAUUGUUUGGUCUCAGAUGUUCAGCAAGCAUCAAUCAGUGUUAAUGGGUGCCAUUUUUUCUGCAAGGAGGAAUUUAGUUGCACACCUUUGUUCCAUACACACUUCCAUGUCAGACAUCACUGUGUCAUACUGCCUCUCUGCAGCCAUCUGUUGCACAGUAAUGAAAUGUAACAGGAUAUUGGCAGGAAAGUUCAGCCUCUACUUUCGUACCAUUAACAUCUACCACUGAUACUGUGGGCCAACAGCAUGAAAUAGAAGGCGUUCUUUCUUGGCCUGAGCACACUGCUGGUGAGCAUCGAGUAACACCCCCAGAUCUGUUACAUUUACACAGUUUUCCAGCCAUUUUGCCCCAAUCUAGCAGCGUUGCUUAUGGUUGUUGUGGCCAAAGUGCAGGACCUGGCAGUUGGUCUUGUUGAACUUCAGCCCAAUGGCCUCAACCCAGUGAUCCAGUUUGUUCAGUUCUCUCUGUGGCACCUUCCUUCCCUUAGCCACUUCCUUCUAACUCGGUGUCGUCUGCAGACCCACUGAGGAUGCACUCAGUACCCUCAUCCCAGUCAUCAAUAAAGAUAUUGAACA